AGAACGAACGCUGGCGGCAUGCCUAAUACAUGCAAGUCGAACGAACUCUUCGGAGUUAGUGGCGCACGGGUGCGUAACGCGUGGGAAUCUGCCCCUUGGUUCGGAAUGACAGUUGGAAACGACUGCUAAUACCGGAUGAUGACGAAGGUCCAAAGAUUUAUCGCCAAGGGAUGAGCCCGCGUAGGAUUAGCUAGUUGGUGAGGUAAAGGCUCACCAAGGCAACGAUCCUUAGCUGGUCUGAGAGGAUGAUCAGCCACACUGGGACUGAGACACGGCCCAGACUCCUACGGGAGGCAGCAGUAGGGAAUAUUGGACAAUGGGCGAAAGCCUGAUCCAGCAAUGCCGCGUGAGUGAUGAAGGCCUUAGGGUUGUAAACUGCUUUUAGGUACGGAACGAAACGGUUCUACUCUAAUACAGGGACUAAUGACGGUACCGUAAGAAUAAGCAACGGCUAACUACGUGCCAGCAGCCG
rnacentral:rRNA from 1 species